UACGUAGGGUGCAAGCGUUGUCCGGAAUUACUGGGCGUAAAGGGCUGGUAGGCGGCCAACUAAGUCCGACGUGAAAUCCCAAGGCUUAACCUUGGAACUGCGUCGGAUACUGGAUGGCUUGAAUUCGGGAGAGGGAUGCGGAAUUCCAGGUGUAGCGGUGAAAUGCGUAGAUAUCUGGAGGAACACCGGUGGCGAAGGCGGCAUCCUGGACCGAGAUUGACGCUGAACAGCGAAAGCUAGGGGAGCAAACGGG
rnacentral:rRNA from 1 species